CCGACAGUGGCUCUCUCUAUUGACCAGGCUGGCCCGGGCAGUGGAGCAGAAACAAUGAGCCCCGGCAUCACAGCAGCUGGACACGGUCCCUGACGAACUCCUGCUCCUGGAGGGUCCACAGUGGAGUGAGCAGCUGUAUUAACUGAUGUUCCCUGGAGAAACAACCAAAGGAGAGAGAUCUGGAGAGAUUUGUUGUCAGGAAACUGCCGUGGAAGAUGUGGACGGGGAGCGUCUUGUAUGCAGGGUUUCCAGAAGCGGAAGACCCAGAUUUGAGAAUUAAGGAUUUAUGGAUGCAUCACAUGCAUUAUUUGAAGGUUCUUUCCCUAAACGUGUGGUGUCCUGUGAGUGUGUCCUUCUAAAGCUCACAGGUUGGAAGCAUGGUUCUCAGCAUGGCAGUACUGGCAGAUGGUGAGAUCUUUCAAAGCUGCAGGUGGGGUGACUGCCCGUCACCCAACACGGCCACCAAGGAGAGGAGAUGCGUGAGGCUGAGGUGACUCCCCGGUCACACUUCAGAUGGCCUUUGGACGUCACAGAGCGCUCAGAUUCCCGGCGGUGGUUUGUGCUCGGAACAGAAUGGCCGGAUGUGCGGAGGACACGCUCCCCCACUUGAAGCUCACUUAGGGUGCUCUCAAAGCAGAUGCCUGCCUCAAGUGGACCUUUGGACUUUCCCUUGACUCAUGCGGGCUUCCUCCCCCACCCCUGGGCCUGUCCCAGCUGCCUCGGUGCCAGGACAUUCUGGCUCUUCACACACAGAAGCCAAGAGGGAUGGUUCAAGGGGACUCAGAAGGCAGUCGGGCCUGAACUUGACCCUGCAGGUCUGGAGGCUGAGACUGGAGAGCCCCAUCACCCACUGCCAACACCCAGAGGCCUCUGGGAAGGCCAAAUUAGGCCUGGGUGGGGUGCUGGCCUGGAGUGGUGGC
rnacentral:lncRNA from 1 species